CGGACGGGUGAGUAACGCGUGGGUAACCUGCCUCAUACAGGGGGAUAACAGUUAGAAAUGACUGCUAAUACCGCAUAAGCACACAGAAUCGCAUGAUUCGGUGUGAAAAACUCCGGUGGUAUGAGAUGGACCCGCGUCCGAUUAGCUAGUUGGUGGGGUAAAGGCCUACCAAGGCGACGAUCAGUAGCCGACCUGAGAGGGUGAUCGGCCACAUUGGGACUGAGACACGGCCCAAACUCCUACGGGAGGCAGCAG
rnacentral:rRNA from 1 species